AAGUCGUAACAAGGUUUCCGUAGGUGAACCUGCGGAAGGAUCAUUAUUGAAUCUUCUUUUUUACAUUGUGAACUUUUUUGUUUCUUUUUCAUUUGGAAUUUUGGGUUUUAAUGCUAAUCUUGCAUAGCCUUGCUUUAUUGUGAGGCUGUAAAAGGUUGCAGUGAAACACAAAAUACAGAUAAAAAAGGGACAAAACAUUUUAAACAUAUAACAAAUGCAGUCUAAUCAAAAAACAACAAUCAAAAACAACUUUUAACAAGGGAUCUCUUGGCUCUC
rnacentral:misc_RNA from 1 species